rnacentral:sRNA from 1 species
UCGAAACCCUCGAUCGAAACGAGCCGACCCGCGCACGUGUCAACCAAUCGGAGGGGACGGAGCGCGUCGCGCGAGGGACCCCUCCGCGUCGCCUCCCCCCCCCUCAAAUGUCGCCAAGGCGUGGUCGCGAGGCGGGCACCUUCACUCCGUGUGGGAUGCUUGUCGAGCGGCGACGAUAGGUGCGGCAGCUCAACCAAACCCCGGCGCAAGUCGCGCCAAGGAAAAUGGAUAUACAACCUCCGCGCUCCCCGCCGGCUCAGGCGACGGGGGCCGGCGUUGUCGUUUAAUGCAUGUAAGAGAUGACUCUCGGCAACGGAUAUCUCGGCUCUUGCAUCGAUGAAGAACGUAGCGAAAUGCGAUACUUGGUGUGAAUUGCAGAAUCCCGUGAACCAUCGAGUCUUUGAACGCAAGUUGCGCCCGAGGCCACCACGGCCGAGGGCACGUCUGUCUGGGCGUCGCAUGCAGCGUCACCUGACACCUCCUCGCCCCCCGCGUGGAGGUGUCGGUGGAGUAUGGCCUCCCGUGUCGUAGGUCUCGACGCGGUUGGCCCAAAUGGGAAGCUCGGGGCAACGGAUGCCGUGACAAUGGGUGGUCCGCGAGGCCGAAUAGGCACCGUCACACGACGUCUUGUCAUUGCAUGGUUUCCCGCUGCUUGUUUCGAUCCCGUUCCGCCACCAUGGCGGGAUACAA